CCAUCGUGCCAUAAACGUGCAAGGUACGGGCACAGGUGUGAGCGAGGGUGCUGUGGGGUGCCGGCCGUGCGAGUCCCCUGCCCUGGCAGAUCACAGGUGAAAAGAAUUGCGGAGGUCUCGUCCAGAUGCCUUUUGCCAAUGACAAAGUCCUUGUUCUGGUCACAGAAGUGGGGAAUAGCUGGCGGUGGCUGUCAGCCCUUCCUCAGGGAGCCCCUGAUGCCCAAGUGCCACAGCUGGGGUCUGAGGCGUGUUGGCAGAGUGACAUCGUGCCCCGGGAUGCUGAGCUGGAGAAGGCAGGGAUGCACCCUGCCAGCCCCGGGACGCGUGGGUGGGCACCGGCGCGGAGCUCUGUGCUGGAGCAAUGGGACGAGGGACCCCCGGGAGGGAGCCAAUGUCCAUCCUGAAAGCUGUGUGACCACUGGGAUCAGGAGGCGGCACAGGAUCUGAUUGCCGGCACCGCGGCUGGGAGCACCGGGCCGGGUCUGAAAUGCAUCGGCAGGUCGGUGUGAGGAGCUGUGCUUAAGAGCCACAACACUGAAUCAUUUCCCAGAAAUCCCCUGUCAGUCUAACCAUAAACACCGAGGACAGUGGAAGGUGGGGAGAUGUGUGUUUCUUCAAUUUCCUACAACAAAGCAAGCGUAAAGGGGAUUAAGAAGGCAACGCUGGGGGAAAAGAGAGCGAUUUAGAAGGGUGUGGGAAAAGCUGAGCACCGUCUCCUGGAAGCAGCAAACAUAAACCCACAACGGCAACAGAUGCCGGACCUGAUGCCCUACCUGGGAGCACUGGGAAAAAGCCUGCUUUGUGUCUGGCUGCUCCUCUUCCUUGCCGCAUGCCUGGGGAUGAGCUCAGCUUACAUGUGGCCAUGUCUAAUCCAGGCACACAGUGGACCCAGCUCUAAGGGGUCUGUGCGCCGUGCAGGCGAGCCGGAGGGUGGGCUGGACUGCACAGCCAUUCCUGGGGGCAACGGCAGCAGGAUUUGUGGUGACGGUCAGUGUUUGGCUCCUGUGUGCUGGGCAGGAGAGCAGGAUCUGCCGUCGGGGCUGGCAAGAGAGAUUGGGGCUGGGUCAGCCUGGCAGGAGGCAGGAUGGUGCCGGUGAGACUUGGCUAGAGGAUGCCUUUAAAUCCAGCGUGGGCUGCUGCCUAGUGGGCUCAGCCCACAGCCACCUGCAGACCCGCGGAGGAGAGGGCUGCAUCUCCCAGAGCUGACCCUGCAGCCUCUCUGCUUUGGUGCAGCUCCCCCUUCCCUGCUUGUUCCCUCUUGCCCAGUCCCCUUUCCGAAGCAGUUGCAAUGAUUCACAUACUUUCCCCAUUAAACCCCCUCAGCCAGUGCUGCUGGCUCAGGUGGUGACAAGGACGACGUGGACUUUCCUGUUCCUCUCAAAAAUCACAGAGGGUACAGUGAGGGACCUUUGGAAAUGCUCUGGAUGCAUCUGUAGGACCAGGUUGUGCCAUGCUCAACGCUGGUGUGACCCACCCCCAGGUUGCUCCCAGCAGAGCCCAUGCGUAUUACGCGACAAAACUCUUUGAAAGAGCCUCGGGGGUUAAAGACGGAGCCCUGUGUCUACUCUGAGCUGCCAGACGAGGAGCCGUUCAUCUUCAGACCCUUUUCUUGGGGCUGGUGGAGAGGAGAAGGGAGGGCAGCAGCUUCCCAGCCCAAGGCUUGGUGAUAACACUGGGAUUGCCACUGUGGGGGAUGCCCAUGGUGUAGGUACCAGCAAGCCCAUGGAAAUCCCCCCCGGUGUGUGUGGUCUGGGGAGGGCUGUGGGGAGAAGGGGGCUCUGGUCUGGACCUGUAUCUCAGCAGGAGUGUGAGCUGCCCUGGGCUUGCUCUUUUCACCAGUUCCAAAUCUGUGAAGGGAUGAACGGCAUGGCUGCUUUUCCCACCCAGCCUCCUUCCCUCUCCCCUCCUUCCAAGCCUGUUGCAUGCUUUUAUCAAUUUGGAGGGUUUGUCUGAGUGAGAGUUCAAAUGUCUUGUAAUCCCGUGGUGUAGGUAUGCUGGAAGGCAAACAGACGUGAUCCUGGGAUGUGGACAUUAGCGAUGACCCACGGAUUAUCCUGGUACUCCUGGUGCACCCUGAGGAUCCUCUGAGGGCUGAGUUUGCCUUUCAGGAGAGGAAACAAGAUUAGACACUUUCUAAAACACAAAAGUGUUAUGCUAAAAGCGGACAGCGGCCGUCAUCUUUGCUCCAAAGACUUUUAAGGGCCUCGCGAGAGACAGUGGCGGUGCCAACCACCUUCCUCAGGCUCCAGAGAGCUUGGCUUAUGUGGUGGAAAUGGCCAGGGGCACCUUGGCUUCUGCCCAACGCCCCUGGCACAGCAAAGCCAAGCCACGCAGAGAUGGACAGCAGAGGAAAGGACAUGUACUGGGUGUUUUUCACCCUAGAUGGUGAACGCACGAGAGCUACCUGGAGGUAAAACCAGAGAUGCUUUGGCUUUACCAGAAGGUGGGCUUGCUCCGUUGCCUUCCUGCGGAGAGUUAAUGACUGAGGGCCUAUUGCGCAGUACAAUUAAAGUGCUUGGUUUCCCAGCCAUUUUUAGGUCGGCUGUGUUAAUUACCCUGACCCAGCUAUUCUAGUUGUGCACUCAAAGUCUGCGACAGCCGGCACAGACGUCGUCUUGGUGGGGAAGGGCUGGAGAAGGCUUUGUGUAACCCUGUGAGGAAGCAGAGGAGGCACAUGUUGUACCAUAGCCCAGCUGGGAGCUGGGUGUUUUUUAGCUGCUUAUUUACAAUAUAUGCCCAUGGCAGAAACAAGAAUA